rnacentral:rRNA from 1 species
GACGAACGCUGGCGGCGUGCUUAACACAUGCAAGUCGAACGGAAAGGCCCUGCUUUUGUUGGUUUCUCGAGUGGCGAACGGGUGAGUAACACGUGAGUAACCUGCCCUUUACUUUGUUAUAUCUUCAUGUAACUGGUGCUAUUACCGUAUAUGAUCUCCUGCUGCUUGUUGGUCGUUUGAUAGUUUCGGCGGUUGUGGAUGGACUCGAGGCUUAUCAGCUUGUUUGUGGUGUAGUGGCUUACCAAGGGUUUGACGGGUAGACGGCAUGAGAGGGUUACCGGCGAAAAUGGGACUGAGAUAGGGAGCAGACGGGAACGGGAGGCAGAAGUGGGGAAUAUAGCAAAAUGGGAGGAAGGGUGAUGAAGAAAAGGAGCGUGCGGGAUGAAGGCCUUCGGGUUGUAAACAGCAUUAGCAUGAGACGAAGAGUGAGUGACGGUAAUGGGUAAAGAAGCACCGGCUAACUACGUG